AGGGGAUAUAGGUUGGUAUAGCUGCUGUAAAUUUAAAGGUUGGCAAGGGAACAUUGCUGGUGUAUGCGUGCAAUGUUGGUGUGUGUGUAGCUAAUAAGGUCGAGAGGUAAAGGAGUGAGUAUGAGUCGCCGAUGUUGGUGACGUGAGAUAAUAGUACCUGUGUGUGUGGGUGGCGUAAUAAGGCCGAGAAGUAGAGGAGUGAGUAUGAGUCGCCGAUGUUGGUGAUGUGAGAUAAUGGUACCUGUGUGUGUGUGCGGCCUAAUAAGGCCGAGAGGUAGAGGAGUGAGUAUGGGUCGCCGAUGUUGGUGACGUGAGAUAAUGGUACCUGUGUGUGUGUGUGGCCUAAUAGGGUCGAGAGGUAGAGGAGUGAGUAUGAGUCGCCGAUGUUGGUGACGUGAGAUAAUGGUAUUUAUGUGUGUGUGUGGCCUAUUAGGGUCGAGAUGUGGAGGAGUGAGUAUGAGUCGCUGAUGUUGGUGACGUGAGAUAGUGGUGUCCGUGUGUGUGUGUGACCUAUUAGGGUCGAGGGGUAGAGAAUUGAG
rnacentral:lncRNA from 1 species